UGCAUGGUUGUCGUCAGCUCGUGCCGUGAGGUGUCGGGUUAAGUCCCAUAACGAGCGCAACCCCUAUCAUUAGUUGCCAUCAGGUCAAGCUGGGGACUCUAAUGAAACUGCCUACGCAAGUAGUGAGGAAGGUGGGGAUGACGUCAAAUCAGCACGGCCCUUACGUCCAGGGCUACACACGUACUACAAUGGCCGAUACAAAGGGCAGCGACACUGCGAGGUGAAGCCAAUCCCGUAAAAUCGGUCUCAGUCCGGAUUGGAGUCUGCAACUCGACUCCAUGAAGUUGGAAUCGCUAGUAAUCGUGGAUCAGCAUGCCACGGUGAAUACGUUCCCGGGCCUU
rnacentral:rRNA from 1 species